rnacentral:tRNA from 1 species
GGAAAAAUAAGUUAAGCUUUAAACUAUUAAUUUUCAACAUUAAAAAUAUUCUCUGGAAUUUUUUUCG